rnacentral:lncRNA from 1 species
AGAUAGAUAUAGAUAUUCUUAUGGAUAUCAUAUCAUCAGCAAUAUGUACACAACGCUGAUACAAGAUCUAUAUCAUCUGAAUACAAUAUAUCUAUAUAAGGGUGAUUUAGACAUUUCAUUCUAUAUAGACUCUAUCUAAAUUAUGGUUGGUUUUAUAUUUCUAUCUCGAGAACAUCUCCAAGAGACUCUUUAAAUCUAUUGGGAUGCUUGAUUAAAGAGUCAAACUAAGAAAGUGAAGCUCCAAGAGACUCCCACUCUUUGUUUUAGUUUUGUGAAUAGUAACUCAAUAGAUUUUAAAGGGAUCAGGAUCCUCUCCUAAGCUAAGGGUGAGGAUCCUCCUUAGCAAGCCAAUCAGACCGUUUAAAUUUUAUCCAAUGACUACAAACAGAGAGUCUAUCUAAAAGUUAUAAUAAUUGUAACCGUUGGAUAAAAUUUGAAUGGCCCGAUGAGCUUACUCAGGAGGAUCCUCACCCUUACCUCAGGAGAGGAUCCUGAUCCAUUUUAAAGAGGAGGAGAGAGAAUUUAACGAGUGAAAAAAGAUGAGAAAUAUGGGUUGUUUAAAUAUUAAAAUAUUUAGAGUUUGUUAAAAUAUAGCGUUGUUGGAGAUGUUAACCUAAAUUUGGUAACUGAAAUAGUGUUUGGGCUCUAGUUACGUGCUAAACUAACAAAAUCUUAAAGACGUUGUUGGAGAUGCUCA